rnacentral:rRNA from 1 species
UACGUAGGGUGCGAGCGUUAAUCGGAAUUACUGGGCGUAAAGCGUACGCAGACGGUUCGCCAAAUCAAAUGUGAAAUCCCCGAACUUAACCUGGGAAUUGCGCUUGAAACUAGCGGGCUUGAGUGCGGCAGAGGGGGGUGGAAUUCCACGUGUAGCAGUGAAAUGCGUAGAGAUGUGGAGGAACACCGAUGGCGAAGGCAGCCCCCUGGGUCGACACUGACGCUCAUGCACGAAAGCGUGGGGAGCAAAC